AUAGGUAUUUUAUUGUUUACAUAUGUCGAAAAACUGGAUGCGAAAUGAAAUCUUUAGCAUAUAGACUGUUCACGGUGAACGCUUAAGACGCAAAGACGUGGCGUCGUCAAGCGUAAUGUUUGACAUUCCGCUAGAUGCUGCUGCAUUACGCCUUCUCGAAUCUAACGAUUACCGAUGUCGAACUUUUUAUUCAAUAUGUGCAUGGUUGAAUCUGAGAACCUACAACUGUUGUAUAGAUAUCGUAAUGAAUUAACAAUGACACAAAAUAUGUAAAAGAUGUUAAUAGCGGCAUCUGAAUUAAAACGAAAUAUUUUAAAUGUCAAUAUUGUACAUUUAUAUUCAUGAAUAUCUAUUAUAGUAGCUUCAGAUUUUCAUAUCACAGAAAGUUCUUAUGCAAAUAAACAAGCAUCUUCUAUAGUUUGUCUGUAAACAUGUUUCAGGUGCCGAUGAUAAGUCCUUUGAUAAAACAUCGCUUUGGGCUGAAUGUAUUAUGUUGAAGAGUAUUGCAAUUGCGGAUAACUUAGUACAGAGAAAGGUUCUACCAUAUAACAAAGAACUCCACACAGCCUACCAUACGUUCGGGAGACGAUCAGAAACAUUUUCUAAAAUUUGUGGUAUGAUUUGUAAGGAAACCAUGGCCACAGCAAAAGGUAUAGUUGAUGUCUGGGUGUCUUAUUGUAUAGAGGAUUGUCUUUCAGAUGGCAGACCUUCUAUUAUUUUUGUUGUGAUUGCGAAAGAUACUUCGAAAAACAUUCAUCUAACAGACUACAGAUAUCAUUUGAUUUCUCAAAACACAUAUAGCAGUGAAAGCGAAAUCGUACUUGCUAGGGAGUUAUCAGAUGAAACACAUGAUAUUUGCAGUAAAAGUGAAACUCUUGAAGAGUUACGACAUUGUAUUGCCCGCCAUGCUGAUGAUCUUCUUGAAAGGCACAGUAAUAUUAACGUGAUUUUGCCAAGUUUAAAGAAGUCGAAGGGAUAUUAUUCAGCCAAUCAUAGCAUUAUCGAUGAACCAUGCAUUGCACUCUAUGUUCCUGUGAAAGGUUGUAUACCAAUAAAUGAGGACCCAUUUCCACAAGAACUUGAUGGAUUUAAAGUAGAUGUUCUGGAAGGUAAAUUCGAAACAUAUAACAGAGGACCACAUGAGUUUCAUGAACACCUGAAGAUGGGACUGGCUAUCCAUGCAAAACUCCUUGAUAGUAAUAAACAUUUACUUGGUGGUACUCUUGGAGGAUUUGUCAACCAUCCCGUUUACAAGAUGUGUGGAAUCACUUGUGCUCACGUCGUUUCUUCCAGUGCAGAAAUGAACGCUGUCAAGCUGUGCGGUAUUAAAGAUGGUUUCAAUAAACCAGUAUUUCAGCCAGUGAAUCACAAUUCAAACCGUUCGGUAGAGUUGUAAUGGCUGUUUACAAGCAUGGUGAUGAAUCGUCAUCAGGGAUGGAAGCUGCUCUUUUUAACAUACAAGGAAGAUAUCCUGAAGAUGGCAGUUUUCCGAUGGCUUUCAAUGAUAUACAAGCAAGUUUUGAUGAAAACAGACCGCUUACUUACAAUUCGGGAGUUGUCUGUGAGGCAUCAGCCAUUAGCCCAAGAACUGAAGUGUAUAAAUACGGCAUGGCGAUUGGUAUUACUAGAGGGAGUUUUGCUUUACAAGGUGCAGUUGUUCGCAAAGAAAGAAUGGAAGGAAAUAGACAUAGUUUCGGAUAUAGUCUUAAAAAUCAGUUAGUUGUUCUCCAAAUAGGAUUGGAGCCUUUUGCAGAAGCCGGAAACUCGGGGGCUUUGGUACUGAUAGAAGGCGAUCAUCACGAUUCUGUUGCUAUCGGCAUUGUUGAAGGUGGCAUUAAAGGCAGAGUGUUUGUGACGCCUAUCUGUGAUAUUCUAAGAGCUUUCGGGUGUUCAGACAUAAAGAUGUACCAGUUCAACAACUUAAAAAAAGGCUCUCUUUCAGGUGACUCUGGGUUAGACAUUGAUGAUUCUGAAACGAUGGAUGUCAAUAAUUAGUAAGAUGUGACGAAACUACAGACAACAAAACCUGCCAUCAUACACAUACUGUUAGUGUCGUUAUUUAAUGUCUCUUGAGUAAACGUCUAAGAUAAACAGCAGGCACCACUGUAAACAUUUCCGUGAAAAGUUAUUAUAUAAUAAACAAAUUAUUAUGGCAGCAACUCUGAUAAUAUCUCUGGCAUGUAUUCUUUGAACCAUUCUAAAAUUAUCUAAUCUAGGUUUUGAUAUAGCCAAACUUCAUUGAGACACGAUGGAAGCUGAACUGGAGCUGAGAAAAAAAAGUAUAAUGAUGAUAUGUUUAGUUUACAAUAUAAGAUGUAAUUACAAGUAUCCUUAUAAAUGGGGCCUUCGUGGCCGAGUGGUUAAGGUCGCUAACUUAAAAUCACUUGCCCCGAGCUUAGCUCGGGCUAGGAAUUCUUAAUGCGGCUUGUGAAAUGUCGGUGGUUCUACCACGGUGCCCGCCCGUGAUGAAAUAAUGCAUCCAUAAAAGCUGUGAAGUCCAAUAUUUAUAGAAUAUUAGCUUUGUAUCGGGAAAUAUGCACGAGUUCUUCAGCGGAAAUAUUGUGCGACUUUAGGAGCGCAAUAUUCCUCCGCUGAAGAACGAGUGAAUAUUUCCCGAUGCAAAGAUAAUAACCUUUUUAUUACAUACGCAUCUACACGCAAUGAUAUAAUAUAAAUAUAUAUCAUAAAAUUGUUCAAUAGACUGAAAAGGAUUAACAAUACUGAACUAAAUAGAAAAAAUAGUGCAACAACACACACUAAAUUACGUCACGCACCCGAUAUGAAAUUCAGGCGUCAGUGUAUGGAAAAAUAUUGACGUUUCCGGUACCGGUGUAACUUAACGGGGAAUAGAAACGAGUAUGUAAUAAGACCUAUAAUAGUGCCGGUGUGACGUUAAACCCAACAAAAACAAAAUCCUCAUAUAAAUUGCCGAUCGAUAGUUUGUGUUAUAGUUCAAAUACAUAUUUUGCCGAGAUCAAGACAAUUUUGAAGAAAAAAAAAUAUAUAAACAUUUAUUUCUCAUGUCAUGUAAUAAAAAAGUUUGGAAAUCAGGAAAAUAGUUCUGACUGUAGACUUGACCGGCAAGUCAUUCAAUAAGUGUAUAUUUAUUGAAAAGGUUUCUGAUGAAAUAAAACUUUGCUUUCGUUUAAACAAUAUUUUAUUAAUCACAAUUCAUUUACAACAUGUACAUAUAUCAAAAAGGCAUACAGGAUUGAGUAGGAAGCUGAAAGCUUAUUUGAAACUCUCUCCUUAAAACUUUGCUUAGUGUAAUGGACUUUCAAAAUUGAAUUUCUUUGUGCCUAAUUUUCCCUUUUCUCUGUAAAGACAUAUUGUAAAGUAUCAUUAUUUAGCACUGUGUGCUUGUAAAAUAUCCAGUCUAUGCCGUAAAUAAUUAUAUAAUCAGAAAAUGUAAGGAAAUGAGGAGUAAAACUAACUAAACAUUUCUCGAAGCUUCUAUAUUGAUAGAAUAACAGUCACGUUGAAACUUCAAUUGCAUAAACUAGUUCAAUCUUGUGACAAUUUAUACAGUGUGUUUCUUUUAGUAGACUUGUGUUUUUCACUCACAUGGCUAGUAUCGCAUUAUACAUUUGACUGAUGUUUGACUGAUGUUUUUGGCGGUGUGCAGUUUAUUGCUUAUUAUUAUGUGCCGAUCGUUCACUUGUACAGAUAAUAUGUUUAUUUUAGCUUAAACUGUCUUUUCUUUAUUGACCGAUGUUUUGGUGGUGUGCAGUUUAUUGCUUACUAUAGAAUUAUUGUGUGCCGAACGUUCACAUGCACAGAUAAUAUGUUUAUUUUAUAUUAUACUGUCUUUUCUUUAUUGACUGAUGUUUUGGUGGUGUGCAGUUUAUUGCUUACUAUAGAAUUAUUGUGUGCCGAUCGUUCACUUGCACAGAUAAUAUGUUUAUUUUAUGUUAUACUGCACAGAUAAUAUGUUUAUUUUAUGUUAUACUGUCCUUUCUUUAUUGGCUGAUGUUUUGGUGGCGUGCAGGUUAUGGCUUACUAUAGAAUUAUUGUGUGUCGAACGUUCACUUGCACAGAUAAUAUGUUUAUUUUAUGUUAUACUGUCUUUUCUUUAUUGACUGAUGUUUUGGUGGUGUACAGUUUAUUGCUUACUAUAGAAUUAUUGUGUGCCGAACGUUCACUUGCACAGAUAAUAUGUUUAUUUUAUGUUAUACUGUCUUUUCUUUAUUGACUGAUGUUUUGGUGGUGUACAGUUUAUGGCUUACUAUAGAAUCAUUGUUUGCCGAACGUUCACUUGCAUAAAUAAUGUUUGUUAUGCCCCCAUUCAAAGAAGAAGGGGUAUAUUUUUUUUUUGCAGAUGUCAGUCGGUCGGUAUGUCGGUCGGUCCGUAGACCAAUCCGUUUCCGGAUGAUAACUGAAGAACGCUCGUGCCAAGGAUCAUGAAAGUUGAUACGGACGUUGGUCAUUACCAAGAAAUGACCCCUAUUGAUUUUGAGGUCAGUAGGUCAUAGAUCAAGGUCACAAUGACCCGGAACAGUUAUGCGGUUUCCGGAUGAUAACUCAAGAUCGCUUGGGCCUAGGAUCAUGAAUGUUGUUAGGAAGGUUGGUCAUGAUUAGCAGAUGACUCCCAUUUAUUUUAAAGUCAGUAUGUCAAAGGUCAAGGUCACAUUGACUCGGAACAAUUAAACGAUUUCCGGACAAAAUUUGAGAACGCUUGAGCCUAGGAUAACGAACCAUCAUAGGGAGGAUGGUCAUGACCAGCAAAUGUCCCCUAUCGAUUUUGAGGCCAGUAGGUCAAAGAUCAAGGUCACAUUGACUCAGAACAGUAGAACUUUUUUUUGCCAAAUAACUAGAGAUUUCUUUGGUCUAACGGUCUA